rnacentral:rRNA from 1 species
AAUGAACGCUGGCGGCGUGCCUAACACAUGCAAGUCGAACGAACACACGGGGAGCUUUCUCCCCUGACGUUAGCGGCGGACGGGUGAGUAACACGUGGAUAACCUACCUCUAAGACUGGGAUAAUUACGGGAAACAGGAUCUACUAACGCAUAAUAUAUCGAACCGGUUGGUUCAAUAGUGCUAGACGCUUUUGGUGACUGUAAUAGCCGAUUCCGGGUUAGAUAAGUUAGUUGGUAAGGUAACAGCUUACCAAGGCUACGAUGCGUAGCUGACCUGAGAGGGUGAUCCGCCACACGGGAACUGAGACACGGUCCAGACUCCUACGGGAGGCAGCAGUAGGGAAUCUUCCGCAAUGGGCGAAAGCCUGAUGGAGCAACACCGCGUGAGUGAUGAAGGUCUUCGGAUCGUAAAGCUCUGUUGUUAGGGAAGAACAAAAGUGUAUGUAACUAUGGACGUCUUGACGGUACCUAAUCAAUAAGCACCGGCUAACUCCGUG